UGCAUUUGGGACUUCCAACCAUCUACCAAUGUGCUGCCAGGCAGGAGGUCACCUCACGUGGUGAGAGGAGCAGAAUCUGCUGACAAAUCGUCCCUGGUGUACCUGCAAAUGUUGGGCACCUCUGCGAAGAUAACCGCCCCCCAUUGCCCACCUCGGCUUUCCUAAUGGCCAAAGGGUGAGAAUAUCAUUCCUUCACUGCUGUUCUUUGCACAGACUAUUACCCUGUGCUAUUGCAGCUCAUGUUACAGCUCCAGCCUCCCGGUGUGAAGCCAAGACUUGUACUAAAUCAUGAAUGGAUAUUAGGCAGGUGGGGUGAAAGCCAGGGCACCUCACAGCGUGCUCCUGCUGGUGCUGCUGCUGCUCUGCUCCGUCCUCCUGCACCCACCGCAGCUCUUCCUCCUUCCCGGGGCUGCAGAUCCUGCAGAGCACCCACGGCUGCUGCCGGUGCCCCUCAGCUCAGGACAUCCGGCCCUCAGAAAGUGCAGAAAGCCCCGAAUUGCGUGAAGAAAAUGAGGAAUGAGAAGGGCUUCAGGACUCGGAUUACCCCCAUGAAAUCUCUCCCUGUCCCAAAGCACGUCCUGCGCGCUGGCUGAGGCAGGAGAAGUGUUCCAGUCUCUAUUGAAACCUGCGACUUCCACCACCCCUUUGGUGGCUGGGAAUGGCGCCCAGACAUGAAAUAACGAACUGAAACCCCUCCACGCGUUGACCAAAGAAAACAAGCUGUCAAACAGAAAUAUCCCCUCGCUCCUUUCCGAGGCGGACCCAAUCUCGUUCCCAUCUGCAGGCUGUGCGGCGCUGGGAAGGCAGCAUGAGGAACUCAGCAUGAAAUCGUCAGCGACGGCGUGCGGUGCUGUUUGUGCAGCAUAAAUCAGUCUGGGGAAUGAAGAGCCCCAUCUUCUUUCUUGCAGAAUUAAAAAAGAGGGGCAUCAAUACUAUGGAUAUUUCAAGUCUCCAGAGAGCUCUGCUUCGAAGGAAAGAGACAGCAGAGCGCCUGCAGCAGAACCAAAGCUUCAGCUCACUGAAUUCUCUGCUUUUUCCUCCCACUUCUACAAAACCACCCUUCAGACCACCAUUGCUCCAGCCAUGGAAGCAGUGUAGUGAAGGCCCAUGAGUCCAUGUGGGAGCUCAGGCAGGGAGGAGGAGGAGGAGACCCAAGUGGCUGUUUUCUCAGUGCUGAGGAUGAUGUGCCCUGCUGCCAUGUGCCAACACCUGCACUGGGCUCCUCGGUCUUCCAUGGGGGUCUCAGCACUGUGAAUCACCACAGCCAUCCCUGCACCACAUCCUCCAGACAGAGCCACGCUGCAGCUCAGGGCAUUCCAUGAAGAAAUUGCUUUCUCAUGACUAAAUGUCAGCAUAGAGAAUGAAUGAAGAAAGACCACAAAUUUACUUAAAAUCUGCAACCGACUCCUCAGCGCAGAGGAAAGACUGGCAUCAGUGUCAUGUCCUGAAGCAGUGUCAUGUCCUGAAGCAGAUGCAGGAAGAACAAUUACUUGUGUUCACAGUAUCCUUAAGGUUGGAAAAGACCACCAGCAUCAUCUAACCCAACCAAGGGGCAGUCUGCUCAGACACAUCUCUUGUCUAAGAGCUUCCAACUUAGUGCAGUUUCCUUAUCCUCGUGCCUAAGGGACAGCACCAGGGACACCAAGGCACACAGUCCUUGUAGGCAUGGCUGGCUGCCAGCCACCCUUGUUCUCUGGUUAAUAGAGGAGCACAUGGAACCGUUGUAGGUAACAUGACCACUGCACGAUCCCGUCAUAGCCAGAAAUGUUUCAGCUGCAUCACUGCUAUAUAUUUUCUUUCCUGCAGCAUCUUAUUUGCCCUUGGUUGUAAGAGGACUGAGCUGAUGUUAGCAUUGUUUUCAGUUCUUCAGCAAAAAUAUUGGUGUUUUUUCUUAAGAAAAAGGCAUGAGCGGAUGAUGUAGUUUUGACUGAUCUGAUAAUAAGUAUAGGAGAAAGCACUCGGUGUGGUUGCAUUGCCCUUUUGUCCUGGGCUGCAGAUGGUCAGUGAAGCUGUGCUCACCCCUCCCAGGUGCUAACACUCAGCCUCUGCUGGGCAGAUGAAGCACAGCUGGGUAAUGAGCAGGUCCUGAUGGGCAGUGUUUGUUGGCCUGUGAACCUACCUUGCCUAUUUAGGGACCUGACCCAAACCAGGGAGCUCAGAAACGUGGUGCUCUCAGCUGUAGCCAUUCCUCUUCUUUAAAUUCAGUAGGUGUGCCUUUGCCACCAGCAGCAUCCUUGGAUUCCAGGCACCAUUCACAUCCUGCUGUUUGGGAAAUGGUCAUUGCCACCAGUCUGGGAAGAAUGUAUUUCUGCCCUUCUGAUAACCCACCAGAGGUCCCCUGAGGGCUGGGAUUCACGUUGCUUUCUGCCCUGAGGCUGUAAGAAACAGCAGUUUGGUGAUUUCCUUGGCUCUGUGUUGCUUGCCACUGGACCAGCUGGCACUGGACGAAAGAGAGCGGCUGCACAUCUUCCUGCUCCUGGUGGUUGGGACUGUUAAAAGUCAGCCCUGUGCCACAGGUUGCCCCAGCUCUUCAGGUGAUAACCUGCUUCAGCAGCAGCUGUGCACAGAAUUUACUGGGCUGCAGCUGGGAAUCUUUCUCUUUGAUCCAUCUCUGCUAUUAAACAGCUUGUGAUAACGCCACUGAGCUCACAUCGAGGAGGGGAAGCCGAGCAACCUCAAUAUUGGAGCUGAGCAGCAGUGGGGUGCCCAUCUUAAAGCUGCAUCACCUCACUGUCUUCAAAAGCAAAGGAGCUCCUUUUAUAGCAGCGAGCUGCUCUCCAGGAAUGAUUAAAGUCUCGUAAACGAGCACCUUCCUCAUCACAGAGCUGUCUGCUGACGGGGUGCCAAGUACAACAAGCCCAAUCCAAAGCAUCAUCCCCUCCAUGGGGCUAAUUGUUGUUGCCUUGUCUCUUGAACAAGAAGAGUGGUAAGGGAAAGCAGAGCCUGGAGACACACGCACAUCCCUGUACAGAAAUAACCCCUGAAAUAGAACUGACAAGCAAUUGAGGAGUCGGCCUGUGGGCUGCAGACAAAGCACAGAGCAAAGGAGAUAACCGGCAGUGAGCACUGGGAAAUAAUGCCCUAAAUUCCCUCUGAGCCCAUUCAUCACCGUGGCUUCGGCGAUCAUCUCAGCAACAAAUUCCCCUAUCAUCCAACUGAAAUUCGAUGUUAAUGACCUGUCUGUUAUUUCAGGGGGAGAUUGUCUGGAACCGGUGGGUAAUUGGUAGGAAAAAUCGCCGGGUACAGCAAAGAGCUGAUGCUACUGGAGUCGUUACACCACGAGAGAGGGAGAUUAGGGAGCUCUGCUUACCACAAGGGGCUUAUUCAUCCUGAAUAAAUGCAUUAGCUGCCCAGAGCUGUCCUCUUAUGCCCUUGUUCCUGUCUGGUGGCAUCUCCCCACCACAGCUUUUCCCAGCAAACAGCAGAGAUGCAGCCCAGAAGAAGCUGCUAGAAUCAUAGAACACCCAGAGCUGGAAGGGACCCAUAAGGAUCAUCGAGUCCAACUGCUGCUGUUGAGACGAUCACAGUAAGGAAUAACCUGCUCUCUCCAAGCUCACACUGAUGUAUGCGUUUAUUCUGGAGUUCUCUCAGGAAAGACCAUAAUUACUCUAAUUUCUUAAUUACCGAAAUUAUUCAGAAUGACUCUGCAAACACCUCUGCCCUGCAACGUUUUGCACGAGCAGCCUCCCAGAUUGCAGCAGCGUUAGGAUUUGGGUUUGUUCCUCUGCUGGAAGGAUUUGCUGCGUUCAUUGCCAUUUCUCCUUGCCAUCAUGUUAGCGGGGCAGCCUGCAGCCCUCACCAAAAAUAGGAUAACUGGAGAGCAUCAGGGGAGAGCUAGAAGCAAGUCCAGAGGUAAAGCCUUGGCUCUGUUGCAAAGGAUAGCUUUGCUGGGACUUGAUGUCUGUGCUUUUUCUCAACAGUUUCUCAUUCCCAUCUUGCUAACGGGACCAGCACCAGUCAUGUUUCGGUGAGCACACCUGCUUUAUAAAUUAGCUCCCAGGAGUAUUUGCAAAAACAGAGCUGAACUGCAUGGCCACGGGACUGGGUUUGCUGCAGAAAUACCAGCACGUAUUCAUAAUAAAGCAGCUGCACGCUUUGCCCAGCUCUGUCUGUAACUUCCCGUCAUGUCCUGUACCUUUCUGGGCAGAAAGAAUGGGUGGUAGUGGUGGGAAAAUUGCAAAAUCCUCCUUGGCUAGAUGAAGCAAUUAUUUUUGAUGCAGAUGGGGCUGCUUUUAACCCUACGUAUUCCAAACAUCUCUGUAUAACCCUAUGGGUUCUCCACCGUUGUAGGCAGUGAUGGAGAAGGAAAAAAAUGGGUGAGUAGGAUUUAACACCCAGCCAGAACUGAACUGUACAACACCCGACUGCAGAAGGGUCGGUUCUAUGCCCUUUAUGCGCAGUAGGCACCGCUGCUGCCUGUCCCCAGCAUGGCACGAGUUGGGGACCAUGAGUGGUGAGGAGCUCUCGUGGUGCCUCUCCCUGAGCUGCAGGCACAAAGGUUGGAUUUCUUCCCUAUGGCUGCGUGAAGAGCUGCUGACUGCUCCACCAGGAACUGAGGCAAUAAUCCCAGCUUGUCGUUCUCCUUCUCAUGGGAGACUUCUUGUGCAAAAGAAGCAUCAGUAGAAUGAAUCAAACGCUGCGGUAGUGGCCCCAUUCCCACGUGCUCUGUGUGCUCUUCCUCUCGACUCACCGGUGAGGAGGCGGUAUCAUGGGGAGGCUGUUCUGAAAAUGCUUUUAAUUGAUUUAGUUCAUAGCUGUGUUGGAGCAGGAAGGUGUUCCUUCCUUGUGCCCGGGAAUGGCAGAAUGUCCUCCAGCUGCCCCCAGAGAUGCAGCGCUGUGCCCGGGUAGCACUGCCUUGCUGCUGGCCAUCCGUGCCAAGCCUGGGAAUGAAAGCUUUGGCAACAGCCUGGACCAAGCUCUGGUAUCUUCCUUAUCGAGAAGCAUGCUGAUUACUGCAGACAAAUUGGAGAUGAACUUGCCUCUAGAGCCCAACGUGUUUGUGAAAUGAAUUGCAGUUACAUGGGGAUUUAUUAUUUCUGCAAAAGAGGCUUUCUUAUCAUGAUUUUUCCUUCCAUCUUGGACUCAUUGCUACCAGACCAGGAACCUUCAAACAGAUGUGUUUGGAGCCUUGAUGUGGGCUCACAGUGGCUGGGAAUCUUCUUGUUAUUCCUACAAAAAACAGACUCCAGCUGGAGGGGAAGAAGAGCCUCCAGCAUUAGAGAUGACCUAAACAGCACAUGUUGCAAAUGAGAUGGGAAGUGGAGAACUGCUUGAAACAUCUCUGGCCCUUUCAGCAGAACUGUUUUCCCUUUGCCUUCUCAAGGCUGAGCUGCAGACAUUGCAAGAAUGACCCCAGCAGACUGCUGCUGUUUCUGUUUUGCAUGUUCACAAGGCAGCUUCUGAAAUAAGUUUGCACACUGUUGAUCUUGCACUGGACAGCCUCACAUCAGGUGGCAGGGAAGCCCCUGCUCAUGCUGCCCUGACCCUGCUGCUCUUACUUCCCAUGCUGAUGCAUCAGUGCAUGAUGUGGCUGGAAAUGAGGUGGUGCAGGGUGGUCUCCUUGGGUUUUGCAGCUGAAAUAGGUUACUGAGCUCCUGAAGGCAUCCACCAGGAUUGCUAUGGCCUGGAACAGCACUAGGAAAGAUGCUCUGCUUCAAGCUGGGGUUGUGCUGGUGGUGGGAGCUGGGGAUUUCAAAUCUUCCUACAGUUGGAUAUUUCAACCAAUGGCAUAAAUAAUGGAAAGCCUUCCAAAAGAAUGCCAUCCUAAGGGCUGUUCCCCUAAGAAGAAAUGCAGGUCAGGAAAUACAUUGGCCAUAUGAGUUUGUGAGUCCUUUCAAUUGUGAACAGUGCACUAAUCAAGAUUUGGCUAAUGGGUAUGCUGGGAUAUGCACACAGAUAUGCUCUUCUUUUGAGUCUUUCUCUUUACCUUUCAACCCCUGAAAUCAUCCAAGCUGCUAACACUCUGAGGAGGAUGAUGCAGCAAAAAUAAUAGUUUUAGCAAGAAGCAGAAAAAUGAGAUUAGCAUCUGUUUUUCUGGGAAAAAUAUCAACUUUUCCUGCUUAGAAAAUGAAUGGGUUGGAAACCAGCUUGUAAAACUCAAAGCCUGAUUCAGGCACUGAUUUGUCACGGGGCUGUCACCUGCAGUCACUGUUAGAGAGGAGCCCUCAAUGUUCUGUCCAAAAGGAACGAUUGCUGUCUGAGUUAUUGAUGGAUUCGUAUGUGGGGAAGAGCAAAUCCUGGUCAAGCUGGAGGACUUUUGCACACAUUCAGCAGCGGGUGAGUAAAGUUAGUGGAAUACAGAACCAUCCCUGCUCGCUGCAGAGCAGCCCCCAAGGAGCACAGUGAUAAAUGAAUUGCAGAAAGCUUGGAGCUUCAACUCGGCCAGGGGAAAUAACGCUGUGUCUAUCUGAUCUCUGCAAACCUGGCUUUCCGCUUAUGUGCCUGAUGAUAAAUCAGCAGUAAAUGUGCUUAGGUUGGCACGCCAAGUUUUUCCCUGGAUGCUGUUCUGUAGGCACGCACUUUCUUCACCACAAGAGUCCAGAUCUGGUGCAGAAACCACAAGCGUGGUACAGGCAGGCGGCAUCCCAUCCCAACACCAUUGCAUUGCCCUUGGCCUGCCAGCCAGAGCCAGCCCAGCACAGCCAUGGGAGAAGGAUGGCAGGCACUCCAGGAGGACCUCUUCAAACUGCAGAGAAGGGGCUGGAAGUAAAGCUGAAGCCGCGUGGCAGGAUGCAGGAGGCGGAGCAGUGCAUUGAGUUGCAUGAUGCCAGGCAGCAGGAGGUGUGGGCUGCCCACUACCUGUUCCUGGACAGCAUGGCCAGGAGAUGGAGCCUCGUGAGACAUUCCGUGGAAGGUGGCAAGCAUUGGAUGAGUAACAUUUCCCCAUAGUGCAUUAAUCAACGCCUGCUUGGCCAAGCAGCAGUCAGUGUGAGAGGAGGACGAGUUGGGCUCCCAGGCACACGGGGAACUGCUGAGACAAAGAUUGCACACAGCAGCACCACAGUGACAAAGCUGCCUUGGUUCAGCACCCAGGGG
rnacentral:lncRNA from 1 species